CGCCUGUUUAUCAAAAACAUGUCUUUUUGAGUUAUUUUUAAAGUCUGACCUGCCCACUGAAAUUUUUAAAUGGCCGCAGUAUCCUAACUGUGCAAAGGUAGCAUAAUCAUUAGUCUUUUAAUUGAAGGCUGGUAUGAACGGUUGGACGAGGUAUAAGCUGUUUCAUAUAAAUUUAUAAUAGAAUUUUAUAUUUUAGUCAAAAAGCUAAAAUAUUAUUAAAAGACGAGAAGACCCUAUAAAUCUUUAUAUUUUUUUUUAUUUAAAUUUUUUGGGUUUAUUUUAUUUUUAUAAUAGAAAAUAUUUUGUUGGGGUGAUGUUAAAAUUUAAUGAACUUUUAAUUGUAAAAAAUCAUUAAUUUAUGAGUUAUUGAUCCAUUAGUAGUGAUUAUAAGAUUAAGUUACUUUAGGGAUAACAGCGUAAUUUUUUUGGAGAGUUCAUAUCGAUAAAAAAGUUUGCGACCUCGAUGUUGGAUUAAGAUAUA
rnacentral:rRNA from 1 species